rnacentral:rRNA from 1 species
UUUAUUGGAGAGUUUGAUCCUGGCUCAGGAUGAACGCUGGCGGCGUGCCUAAUACAUGCAAGUCGAGCGAAUGGAUUAAGAGCUUGCUCUUAUGAAGUUAGCGGCGGACGGGUGAGUAACACGUGGGUAACCUGCCCAUAAGACUGGGAUAACUCCGGGAAACCGGGGCUAAUACCGGAUAACAUUUUGAACCGCAUGGUUCGAAAUUGAAAGGCGGCUUCGGCUGUCACUUAUGGAUGGACCCGCGUCGCAUUAGCUAGUUGGUGAGGUAACGGCUCACCAAGGCAACGAUGCGUAGCCGACCUGAGAGGGUGAUCGGCCACACUGGGACUGAGACACGGCCCAGACUCCUACGGGAGGCAGCAGUAGGGAAUCUUCCGCAAUGGACGA